rnacentral:rRNA from 1 species
AGUCAAUAGAUACCCUGGUAGUCCAUGCCGUAAACGAUGAUUGCUAGGUGUGGGGGGUCUGACCCCUUCCGUGCCGGAGUUAAACACAAUAAGCAAUCCACCUGGGGAGUACGGCCGCAAGGUUGAAACUCAAAGGAAUUGACGGGGGCCCGCACAAGCAGUGGAGUAUGUGGUUUAAAUUCGAAGCAACGCGAAGAACCUUACCAGGUCUUGACAUCCACCGAAUCCUGUAGAGAUACGGGAGUGCCCUUCGGGGAACGGUGAGACAGGUGGUGCAUGGUUGUCGUCAGCUCGUGUCGUGAGAUGUUGGG